rnacentral:lncRNA from 1 species
GUCCGACUCAACUAAAACAAGCAAAAACAGAUAAACAAGCACAUACAAGUGUGCUCACAAGCAAAAACAGAUACACAAGCACCAAAACAUGGUGCAACAUCAACUAAAGCUGUGGUGCGCAUCUCCAUGCCUCUUUUGAUCUUCCAUGAUAGCAGCAACAACCUAAACAACAUUAGAUCACCAAAAAGAUACAUUAUUAAAUGUUUAGAUACAAUGCCAUCAACAUGAGGCGGUAAUCCAACUUAACACUUUGUUAACAUAUUUUACAUACGCAAAUAACUAAGCUUAUACUAUAUAAGUUUAUGACCCACAUGCAAUGUGAAAUUGAAUUGCCAAAUAUAUUGUUUGAGCAGUCACAGGCAGAGAAGGUAUAGCUACAGAAGUAGAAUAUGAAAAGUUAAUAUAUUGAGAAGGUUUUUGUGCAUCAACACUGAAUCAAAGAACAUAUUUCAAUAAUUUAGACAUGUCGUUUCAAGUUGUAGCAACAUCAUCUUGAGGCUGCUCAUCUAUCCUCAUUCUACUGGUUGAUGAUCAUUUAUAAAUUUUCGUGAAUAGAUCCUAGGCCUAAGACAUAUAAGAUACAUCCUUCACACAAAAAAAAGAUAUACGAGAUACAACAUGUUCCUAUUUGCAAAGCCUACCAAGAACAGAUCCUAGGCCUAAGACAUACUAGUUAUUACAGGACUUUGCUCCUAACAGUAGCAACAAAAUUCUUAGCAAUUGAACGACAGUAAGCACCACAUAUUCACUUCAUCAAGAGAUAAGUACCAAAAAUCAUCCUCAACAAAGAACUAAUUUGUUGGAAAACACAUGUCUUACUUACUGAACAUCCAGAUGCACCACAUCCCCAUGAGCCUCCACAUGUCUGGC